GAACGGAAGCACAGCACACGCUGAAAUAAACAUGUACCAACAAGAGGGCAAGAAUUUCCUGCUUUGGUAAGAAGCUUCUUUAAGUCAACACAACAGUCUGUGGUUUCAGCAGCUUUUUUCGUAUGAUGGAGGCGGAGCUGCAGGUGUGGUGGAAAUAAAAUAAAAGAAAAGAUCUCUUCUUGAGGCUCCAGAUUCAGCUGUCAGCAGUCUGAAUCUUUCUACCAGAGAUGAGGGGUUUCCUGAAGAUUUUGUCAACGAAUGUCAGCGCCUUCAUCGUCGUCAUUGUAAGCAUCACCUACAAUAUUCUGCUGUACAAGAAUUUGGAGUGCACUUGCAAAGAUGUUUUCAAAGACUGCAUGGAAUAUGCAACCGGAAGUAGCAAGCUAUGCGCUUCCGGGUUAGCGAACCGUGCACACACCAGUUCAGUGAUUGAUGGCUGGUAUAAAGAGAGCCAGAACGCCACAGCGGUAGGUUCGUGUGCGUGUUUGUUCCCGCCGAUUCACAGCGUGCGCCCUGGUUCGGUACCGUUUCAGGACCCAGGCGGCUAGCUCCCACUAGGGGUGGUGAAACCAAGGCCUCAUGAAUCCUCGAGCCAACUUUGACCCAAAUGCAUGAAAGUGGUUUGCUGUUCUGAAUCAUUUGAUCAAAUCAAAGAGCUCCAUCUGCUGGCUGUGGUCGUCUGAUGCAUCAGAAGGUCAGCGUUGCAGUUGAUACCUCACAUCUGUCAUCCCUAUGUCAAUGUGGAAUACGUGUUCAAUAAAUGAUACAUAUUCUACCAUGAGUGAAUAUUUAUUUUCUGUAGAUCAUAAAUUAUAAACAGGGGUUAUUAUGUAAGAUUAGUAAAGGUAACAGAAUUGUGGUGUAACUUAAGUAAACCAAUCUUUAAUGACAAUAGUUACUCACAGCGGGAACGUAUGAGGGAAGGGUGCUUGUGGAACAGGGAUGGUGAUUGUGUUAGUGAUUUUAGACAGUUAUAGUAAGAUUGUUUACUGUUUUAUGUGUCUUAUUUAUAAUAAAUUUUGCAAAUGCAUCUUAUCAGCUA